CGCGUAGGUAACCUGCCUGGUAGCGGGGGAUAACUAUUGGAAACGAUAGCUAAUACCGCAUAACAGUAGAUAUCGCAUGAUAGCUGCUUGAAAGGUGCAAUUGCACCACUACCAGAUGGACCUGCGUUGUAUUAGCUAGUUGGUGGGGUAACGGCUCACCAAGGCAACGAUACAUAGCCGACCUGAGAGGGUGAUCGGCCACACUGGGACUGAGACACGGCCCAG
rnacentral:rRNA from 1 species